CCUACGGGAGGCAGCAGUGAGGAAUAUUGGUCAAUGGGCGAGAGCCUGAACCAGCCAAGUCGCGUGAAGGAUGACGGCCCUACGGGUUGUAAACUUCUUUUGUCAGGGAGCAAUUGGGUCCACGCGUGGGCUUAGCGAGAGUACCUGAAGAAAAAGCAUCGGCUAACUCCGUGCCAGCAGCCGCGGUAAUACGGAGGAUUCGAGCGUUAUCCGGAUUUAUUGGGUUUAAAGGGUGCGUAGGCGGAAUAUCAAGUCAGCGGUAAAAAUUCGGGGCUCAACCCCGUCGUGCCGUUGAAACUGAUGGUCUUGAGUGGGCGAGAAGUAGGCGGAAUGCGUGGUGUAGCGGUGAAAUGCAUAGAUAUCACGCAGAACUCCGAUUGCGAAGGCAGCAUACCGGCGCCCAACUGACGCUGAAGCACGAAAGCGUGGGUAUCGAACAGGAUUAGAUACCCUUGUAGUC
rnacentral:rRNA from 1 species